UUUGUUUUGUUACUACAUCUCAUGAGGUCAAAAUCACAAACAAGUAUUCUUGAUUUUUACUGACUAAAAUAUACAAAAGGAAGUUCUAAUAAUAUUGUUUCUAUGAGUCAACUGAACCCUCCUCCUUCCUUGAUCUACAUCUCUCUUGCUUUAUUCCUCUCAAUUACAGUUCAGUCUCUAACUUCUUAUCAGUGUAGACACAAGUAUUCCAGGAAUAAUGCUGCUCCGUCAGAAUUUUCUCAUCAUUCUUGUGUUCUUUGGGAUGGUAUUGAGUGGGCUCAUAUACCUGAACAAUAUCCAGAACAGCUGCAAUCAGCAGAAAAAAGAAC